rnacentral:misc_RNA from 1 species
GGACUACUAGGGUUUCUAAUCCUGUUUGCUACCCAUGCUUUCGAGCCUCAGCGUCAGUUGGUGCCCAGUAGACCGCCUUCGCCACUGGUGUUCCUCCCGAUAUCUACGCAUUCCACCGCUACACCGGGAAUUCCAUCUACCUCUGCACUACUCAAGAAAAACAGUUUUGAAAGCAAUUCAUGGGUUGAGCCCAUGGUUUUCACUUCCAACUUGUCUUCCCGCCUGCGCUCCCUUUACACCCAGUAAUUCCGGACAACGCUUGCACCCUACGUUUUACCGCGGCUGCUGGCACGUAGUUAGCCGGUGCUUUCUUGUUAGGUACCGUCAUUAUCGUCCCUAACGACAGGAGUUUACAAUCCGAAAACCUUCUUCCUCCACGCGGCGUCGCUGCAUCAGGGUU